GAGGGUCUAGCUCAGUGGUGGAGCGUGUGCUUACCAUGCAUGAGGUCCUGGGUUCAAUCCCCAAGACCUGCA
rnacentral:tRNA from 1 species